UAUAACUAACUUUGAUGAGAUGAAGGAUA
rnacentral:piRNA from 1 species